GUUCGGGUCUUAGGAAGUUAAAAUAUGUGUAUGUUGAUACUAAAGACCUUUAAACCAAUAAGAUAAGAAAAACUAUACAGUAUAUUCUCUAAUUAUUUGGCUGUGAAGGCUGCACGGUAUGGUAUAUAGAGACUUUGCAGUCUGUUUUCAAAAUAGCAAUUAGUUUCCUAAGGUGAAUUUAAUUUAUGUGGUGUAAGAAAGCAGGCUCAGUAAGUAAGUUAGCAAAUCACCAGUGUAUUCAUGUCUGCAUUAGGAAAAGUUAAAUGCAAACUGUACAUCUGGUCCUUUGUAUUCCUGGAUAAACAUGUAGUUAGCAGAUUAAGGUGCACAAGCAAAGUGACUAUAGCUACAUUUUAAUGAAUAUGUUUAGUGGAUUUAAUCGAUUCUUAUGUACAGAGUUAGAUUGUGUCUUCACCAUCUGUAAUUACCAGAAAAUAACAUUUUGUCAAGAUUUAAUUUUGGUUUUUUUUUGUUGUUCUGGGUAAUCCUUAUCUGCCACGCAAACAAACCAUUAGUCAAACCAAAGUUGUGCUUGCUGUUAUUGUAGGGAGCUGUAAGCUUAUAUCAAGAGUUUAACAUUGACAACCUGUGUGGGUUGCGUUUGAUCGCAGUAGAUUGAUAAUGGUAGAGAAACAUAAGCGGAUGGCAAAACCAGAAAUUAUUUACCAGUUUAAUACCAGCAAAUGCACAGAAAAGUCCUUUGUAUCGGUUUAGUCUGUUGAUGUGUAAUAGAUGAUUUUGCGCUACAUUUGUCAUGUAAAUAAAUGAUCUUCCCACUGUAUGGUAUGUGGGUGUGGAACAGAUGUCGCUUCUCUGGGACUGCAUAUGAAGCCCAGGUAUACACAGGCCCUGUGAAUUGUUUUGUUAAUUGCUAUGCUGCAAAUAAAAUUAAACAACAAAAAAAUUAAAUAAAAAAUACCUUUGUGCACAUUUACCAGCCAUUACCAGUGAUUGAGUUGGGCAGAACAAAGAAAAACAAUACUUGGAUUCUUUAUUAAAUUUUUUAAUGAAUAUUUAAAUGAACAUUUAAUAGUAUUCCCCCAGCCUUUCAUGGCAGGUGGCCACAAUCCUGGUUCUGGCAGGGUUUCUUCCUCUUAAAAAGGAGUUUUUUCUUCCCACUGUUGCCAAGUGCUUGCUUAAAGGAUUUUCACUGUAUUAUUUUAAGGUCUCAACUUUACAAUAUAAAGGGUCUUGAGCCAGCUGCUGUUGCAAUUUGGUGUUAAAUAAAUAAAAUUGAAUUGAAAUGGUGUUUAAUUGCCUUUUGCAUUGAAUUUUGUGGAAUCACAUGUUUUGUUUUGUUGUGUUGUGUUUUUUUUGUUUUGUUUUGUUGUGUUUUGUUUUAACUAAGUCCUUUGCUUUACACGACUCUCUCAUGAAACAUAACCAAAAUAACUGAAACUGUGCUCUGCAGUGAUGUGGAUUAACAUGACCUUGACUCUGCAAACACAGCCUAUAAACAUCUGUUGUGAGUCAUGAUCAUGAGUUGGAGAAAGUCUGUAACCUCAGUUCAUCCCACUCUGUGUAAGGUGUGUUUGUUCCUUGAGUGUGAAAAGGGACACGGUCUGCUGGCUGCCUGUUUGCCUGUUGUGAUUAUACCUGUUUUUGUUGUGUUUUAUGUGCUGGACAUUCUAGUAGAAUGUGAGUCUUAUAUAACAAAGUCAUUAUUAUCAUUAUUGUUGUUGGAAUAAUUAAUAGUUUCCCUAGUAUUUAUUUUCUCUGCCCUUUGUCUCACUUAGACUUUUGUUCCUUAGUCCCACUGUGUUUCUUUGUUCAUUGUUGGUGUUGACUGUGUUUGUUUCUUUGGGUCUUUUCAUGUUUUACUUUGAAGGGUAAUUUUCCUGCAUGGUCCGUUUCUUGAUCAUUUUCACCUGUCAUUGAUUGCAUGUUCACAUCUCACCCUCUUCUGUGUCUAAUCUGUAAUCACAUCAUUAGAUACACGCAAGUACCUGGUUGGGCCUUUUUUGCCUUCAGAACUCCCUCAAUUCUUCAAGGCAUAGAUUCAACAAGGUACUGGAAACAUUCCUCUGAGAUUUUAGUCCAUAUUGACAUGAUAACAUCACACAGCCAUCAGAAGUUGGGUAGGUAUACUGUGGUCAUAAUACUGUGGUUUGCUGGGCUUGGUCGGCAAUAAUAUUCAGGUAGGCUAUGUGUAAAUGAUACUCACUUAAUUAAGGGGUCCAAAGAGUGCAGAGAAAACAUACCUGACAACAUCACACCGCCAUCAUUAGCCUGAAACUUUGAUGCCAGGCAGGAUGGAUCCAUGCAUUCAUCUUGUUUAUGCCAAAUUCUGACCUAUUAGCUGACAGGAGUGGCAACUGGUGUGGUCUUCUGCUGAUUCGGUUUGCUGUGUGGUCAGCAAUGCUCUUCUGCACACCUUGGUGUAACUUGGGAUUAUUUGAAUCACUGUUUACUUAUCAGUUCAAAGCAAUCAGACCAUUCUUCUCUGACUUUAAGAUAGCGUUUUCACUCAGAAAAAUGCCAAUCGCUGGAUAUUUUCUCUCUUUUCGAUCAUUCUCACUUGAGAUGGUUGUGUGAGAAAAUGAUAUACUCAACGUCUUGGCAACAGCAACACCACAUUCAAGAUGACUUGAAUUAACGAUGUUCUUUGGAUUUAUUCUCUAUCUCACCUGUGUUUUGAAUUCCUGUUUACUUUAUGGGCUUUGGGGGUUUUUUGGGUUUUUUUGGGGUUUUUUUUAGGUCUUUGGUUACUUACCGGUUGGUUUACUAAGCCAAAUCCUCUAUGCCAUAUCAUAUCACAUACACUGUAGUCCAGUAGUAUUGUAGACUCCAGAUGACAGCUUACAGAACGUUUGGACUGAACCCAAACCACCAACCUUUUUAUUACAUUCAGCACUUCCAGUAAUGAUUUUGUUGUUUCUGCAGUACCACAUUAACUUGGUAUUUGAGUAUUGGUUGGACAGGAUGAGGCAUCUAAAGACAUCAACUUGGACUUGAUGACUUGCAUUCUUGCAGUGUAUUUGCAGCAAUAGACACUAAAACCCUCUUUAUUGUUGCAUCAAUUCUCACUUUAUGAAAGAGGAAUACUGAUGAACUUAGGUGCCAUUUUUAAGCAGACUGAUCUAUUCCUGUUUCCCUUCAGGCCUAUUACACAAAUGAAAUUAAAAUGAUUAGCUUUUGAAACAUUAUCCACUGGCCCUCAUUUUUGGUAUUUCAUUCACGCUCUUUGUGUACUACAAAAUUUCCCACCAUCCCACUUUUAACUCUUUAAACUCAGACUGGCACUCAGGUUUGUGUUCAGUGUUGAUUUAGGCUGAAACUGCUUCUUAUGCACUUUUGAGGUAAAGACCAAAGGGGCAUUGGUGUUGGAGCUAUCCAUACUUUCUUACUUUGCGCUCUCCUGACGCCUUUAAGCGGCUGCCCUUCAACUGUAACAUUUUAUUUGAAAGUGAAAUAGGUCCUCUAAAGAGAUCAGACCACUUCUGCAUGCUCUUCCCACAUGAAUUUCAAUGAACUGCUGCACUUAAGCGGUUCAGCUCCACAGCCUCCUCCCUCACAAACUAAGUGAGCCCAGGAAAAACAAGCCUUGCAAUUGGAGUAAUUUUGUAAAAGGACGAAUCGCAUCACACUGUGACAACUGACAGCGUGAGGUGUUCCGCAGUAAACUGACUCACCGCCACACUUUUUCGAUGACCACUGUGCAGUAGCACAACUGAACCAGGACUGGAAACCUGCCCUAUCAUCUCAUCUCAAAGGAGUUGCCCUCAGAUUCAGACCUCAGCAUCACCCAGUGACAACAGACCAAUCAGCUUAUAUGUUCACUCUUUGUAGUAACUCCAAAAUUAAACGGUGCAAAGGCUAAAUUACUAUAUGAUGUACUGUCAGUGGAUGCUGCAGCUGUUUUAUUGAUAAAGUUAAAGACGAAAAGUUAAAAGGUUUAAUCAUCCACAUAACUGGUGUCACUAUAUAGGAGCAUAAACAGAACCUUGGGGAUUAAUAAAGCUCCUGAUCUCAGACCUGCACAGCUUCUGCUUUUAACACUGAAUGUAGAGUCCAUUAUAUUUUCUAUCAAUAAAACCCGAUGUAAGGUCAAAGGUUUAAAAUUAACAUUGAACUAAUAUAAUUUAAUCCAGACUUCUAUCACAGAGUGUUUUAUUUACCAUAAGAUAUUCAGAGUCAUUCAUAUUUGAGUAAACUGAGAGGAUAAUAUAACUUUUGGCAGGACUGAAUAUAACAUCAUUAUGUAAAGUUCCAGGCCCUCUGUCCUUUAUCUGAGGAUGGUGUGACUACUUCUGACAUUACACAAAGCAAAGGCCUCUGUCACACUGUUCAUGAAGUGCUGGGUUUGUCCAUCUUCUUGGGCGGCCUUCAGUGGAGGUCUGGUGAAGACAUACCUCAUAUGAGCUGUUCGCACUAAAGUAAAAAAUACCAUCACUUAUGCGGAUACCCCUUUGGCGCCAGCUGCAAGGCUGGAGCUGAACAAAAACACCCUGAUAACGACUGUGUUUAGUCUGUUCCUUCCCAUUCCAUGCAAGGCCACCUGGGUUGG